GCAAAGACUUGAUCUUCAUGACCUGGUAAAUCAAACUUCAUCUUUUUGGAUCGUACAUCCCACACCUUUAGCGUCGUAUCUUGAGAAGAACUGACCAACAAUCGUGAAUCUGUAGACCAGGCACAUUGAUAAACCGCAGCAACAUGACCACGCAAAGUUGCAAGGAAUUUACCGGUUUUUCCAUCCCAUAGCCUAACUGAGCUAUCGAAACUAGCUGUAGCAAUACACCGUCCAUCAGGAGAAAAUGAAGCAUGGUUUACUACCUUUUGAUGUCCAUGCAUUUUUGUGAUGGGCUUCGUUGAUUUCUGUGGAUCCCAUAAUAUUAAUUGCAAAUCAUCACUGGCAGAAACCAAUCUCUCUCCUGACUGUUUUAAACAAGCCUCAUAACGCUCUUUGGCCUUACGACGCUCAUCAGAAAAGCUUUUUGGUUUAAAAUCAGUAUGAUCAUAUGCACCCGAACGCAAGACAUGCUCGGUGGACAAGGAGAGAUGGUUCACACGAGCGGCAUGACCUUUUAGAAUAUGCAAGCAUUUUCCCUUCAAAAUUAGUAAGUAAAUAAUCCCUAAGUACAAUUUCCUUCACUUACAUCUUUAGCAUCCCAAAUCCGUAUGGUUUUAUCAUAUGAGGAGGAAUAAAUCCAGUUUUGACCGCCCCAACGGACACAAGUAAUUGGCGCGGUAUGACCCGAGAGAGUAAAAAGCAACGUCCUUAAUUUGACAUUCCAAAUACGAACUGUAUUGUCUUUUGAUCCAGAAGCUAGUAAAUAGGGGCCACUGUCAGGAGCAAGAUGCAAAGGUUGCCAACAUAGUGCCAUAAUAGGUUUCGUAUGGCGUCGUAGAGCAUCACCUAUAGGGCUCCCCUUUUUGGGAUCCCAGAAACGAAUCUAAAAAUAUUAGUGACUUGCGACAAAAAAAUCAUAAAUCCAUCAAAAAGUUACUCACCGUAUUAUCCAUGCUUCCUGUAGCUAUGAUAGAGGCAUCAGGGGCCCAAGCGACGCAAGACACCC